rnacentral:rRNA from 1 species
AUGACGUCAAAUCAUCAUGCCCCUUAUGACCUGGGCUACACACGUGCUACAAUGGUUGGUACAACGAGUUGCGAGUCGGUGGACGGCGAGCUAAAUCUCUUAAAGCCAAUCUCAGUUCGGAUUGUAGGCUGCAACUCGCCUACAUGAAGUCGGAAUCGCUAGUAAUCGCGGAUCAGCACGCCGCGGUGAAUACGUUCCCGGGCCUU